GACGAACGCUGGCGGCGUGCUUAACACAUGCAAGUCGAACGAAGUGGCGAACGGGUGAGUAACGCGUAAUCAACCUGCCCUUCAGUGGGGGACAACAGUUGGAAACGACUGCUAAUACCGACUACUGAUGGAGGGGAUUGCGUCUGAUUAGCUAGUUGGCGGGGUAACGGCCCACCAAGGCGAUGAUCAGUUGCCGGUCUGAGAAGAUGAACGACCACAUUGGGACUGAGACACGGCCCAGACUCCGUCGGGAGGCAGCAAUGGGUAAUCUUCCGCAAUGGACGAAAGUCUGUCGGAGCAACGCCGCGUGAGUGAUGACGGCCUUCGGGUUGUAAAGCUCGGUUAAUCGGGACGCGGUACCGGAAGAGAAAGCCACUGCUAACUACGUGCCAGCAGCCGCGGUAAUUC
rnacentral:rRNA from 1 species